UUGUGGAGAGGGAAUUAAUAACUAUAUUCGAGGAGAAAUCUAGUGAAAGUUUGUUCCCUUUUAUGGUUCCCAUUCUGGUUUCCUCAUUUAUGAAUAGUGUGAGAUAUUUGGAUGAUGUUUUCAAACUAUAUGGCUUUCCUUGUGAAAAAUUCAGGUCGGUCCACUCAUCUGAUGGUCAAACAUGUACGUUAAAUGGUAACUGUCCAUUUCUUUUGCAUAUGUUUGGCUCGCCAGAUUUGUGACUGACCUGAUUCUUGGACCUAAGGCGUAAGUGGAACCUUGCCAACCACAUGCGCAAAAAUGGCAUACAGGUUUGAAGUAAGAGCUUUCCAUCAAGUGGACCACUGUGUACAAAACAAAUGGAUGUCUAGAAAAAAGAAUUGUAAUCACCAUCCAUUUCUUUUGUAUAUUGUCCCCAACCUGCGAAGCAAAACUGCCUAAUUUUUGUGCAAGAACAUCUAAUCAAUCCGUCUCACCUAAUGGAAUUAUGGAAAGCUGGGAUCUAAGAUACAUUCCAUAUUGGCAUGUGCGGCUGCAUGUGGAUGGGCACGGCUCCAAUGUGUGUGGGCUUAGCAAACAUCUGUUUUAGCUUUACUUAAUACGGUAUUGAUUUGUUUGGUCCUAUGUUAUAUUAGCCUUUACAGCAUUUUUAACUCUUUAACUGCAGUAGCGUAAUUUUUGUGGUCAAUAAGGAACUCUUCGAGGAGCCAAUACGUUUGGAUUUGUUUGCAGUCAAUCCAUGCUCUGAAGCCCCAUAAUUGGAUUGUGUUAGUAAUAUUUCUUCAAUUUCACAUGUUCUCUUUCUGUCAUGACACAACUAAAUCUAGUCAUGUGUUUCCUGUAAUCCAAUAAUCUUUGGCCAUCUUUUUUUCUAGAAAAUUGAUAUUUAUGUUCUUUUCCUAACCAUCUUUUGUAGUACAUUGACUGAUAGAUUAGGAUUUCCACUCUAUAAGGAUUUUGGAGCAUCUUCCAUCUAUGGGACAGAUUAUCAAAUUAAAGUUUGUAUCUCACAACUACCGACCCCACUUGUAACAGACUUUUUCCUCCGAGGAGAUAUUGUGAUGACCACAGACGUAGAUGGACGGAUGUGGAGCAUGGUGGAAAUGGUGAUUCUAUGAUGAUGAGAUGUUUGUUUGAAUGAUAUUUUCUAAUUGUUGCUUGUGAAUGUUUGUAUCUUUUGCAAACAAUCGUUUGAUACGGUUCAUUGUGCUAAUAUUCAUUAUGAUGCGUUCUCUACUUCAAAUUACACUAAAAAAAAUUUAUGUAAUAUUUGAUUUAUUUUCUUGUAUGCAUAUCUGUAUGUAAUGUGCUGGUUAAACAUUGAAAUGGGAAACAAUUUCUUUU